UAGGAUAUUUGAGAGCAGUGAAAAAACUACUCAAGUUUGAAUGAUUCAAUUUCUUCAUUCCUUACAUAGUUGUAUAUGGAGCAAUUUUUUUUUUUUCUGUUUUCGAAAGUCGAUCACGAAUAGUGCUGAAAAGUUAUCAUAUGGUAUGAGACGUGGGUGUAGGUUGCCCACAGGAAUUUCAACAUCAGGAAUUGCCUUUUAGGAAAAUUACCAUCUGUGGAAGAUAGUUUGCAAUUAUUUGUAGUGAUUUAUCUACCAAUCCGUCCAAUCUAAAGAUGUGUCCGAGCCAUAUUAGGAUCCGUUAAUAGUUUUCACAUCUUCAAAUAAAAUAAUCUUCUUAAUUUUCCAAAUUGCACCAUAGAUAACAGCUGGACCUCGAGAUAGGUCAGUGUUGUGUAGUAUAAACUUGAGGCUUGAGACAGAUUAAAAACCACCAUCAUCGCUUGAAGAACCAUAGAAAACUCUCCAAUUUUCCCAAUACAUUUUUACAAUGGCAGCUUUGACGGAGGCUAUCUAUGCUUUUCUGAUUUUUUCCAAAACCCUAAGGAUAAAUAAGUAUGUUUAGGAGGCAGUUUUCAGCUCUUGUCUUUGUGCCACUUGAAGAUGUGAUAUAUAUAUUUACUGAUGAGAAAACUAUAUACGCAUCUUUAAAUGGACAAUGUUCCUGAUGGCAAUUUUCUGAAGACAGUAUUCCUAAAAUCAGCAAGGAAAUAACUUAUACAAAAUAUCAUCUUUAUGAUCAAGAGAAAAAAUUAUUUUUUUUUGCAGCAAAAUUAUUUGUUGUUUUGAUAGACGUUUUUGAAAUGCCCUGAAUUUGCUAUCGAUGUUUGUUAUGAUAUGGUCAAUAAAAAAAAUGUCAUAAAAGACAUGUAUCUUUCUAUUCAUAAA
rnacentral:lncRNA from 1 species